AAGGGGGCGGUCCGGCGGAUGCCGGGCCUGUACUCCGCUGGCGUAGGCCUGCCCGGGUUCGAAUCCCGGCCCCCGCACCA
rnacentral:tRNA from 1 species